AGAGUUUGAUCCUGGCUCAGGAUGAACGCUAGCGGCAGGCUUAACACAUGCAAGUCGAGGGGUAACAGGGAAAAGCUUGCUUUUUUGCUGACGACCGGCGAACGGGUGCGUAACGCGUAUAGAAUCUGCCUUGUACAGGAGGAUAGCCUUUAGAAAUGAAGAUUAAUACUCCAUAAUGUAGAGUAGUGGCAUCGCUAUUUUAUUAAAGAUUUAUUGGUACAAGAUGACUAUGCGUCCUAUUAGCUAGAUGGUAAGGUAACGGCUUACCAUGGCGACGAUAGGUAGGGGGUCUGAGAGGAUUAUCCCCCACACUGGUACUGAGACACGGACCAGACUCCUACGGGAGGCAGCAGUGAGGAAUAUUGGUCAAUGGAGGCAACUCUGAACCAGCCAUGCCGCGUGCAGGAAGACUGCCCUAUGGGUUGUAAACUGCUUUUAUACAGGAAGAAACAGAUCUACGUGUAGGUCCUUGACGGUACUGUAAGAAUAGCACCGGCUAACUCCGUGCCAGCAGCCGCGGUAAUAC
rnacentral:rRNA from 1 species